GAUAAAAGAGUGCCUUUCUCAUGGCCUACAUUAUUCUCAGAAGUGGAAAUAGCAUGUCGAAAAUCCACUUAUCCUGUAACUGUCUCUGUUCGGACAGUGGGAGAUCAUACAACCUGUAGUACAAUAAAUGCUGAGUUGGUGACCCGGAAAAGGAAAAGGACCACAGA